rnacentral:rRNA from 1 species
UACGUAGGAGGCAAGCGUUGUCCGGAAUUACUGGGCGUAAAGCGCGUGUAGGUGGUGGGACAAGUCUGCUGUGAAAGCGCCUGGCUUAACCGGGCGAGGUCGGCGGAAACUGUCCGACUAGAGGACGGUAGAGGGGGGUGGAAUUCCCGGUGUAGUGGUGAAAUGCGUAGAGAUCGGGAGGAACACCUGUGGCGAAGGCGGCUCACUGGACCGGCAUUGACGCUGAGGUGCGAAAGCGUGGGGAGCAAACAGG